UUGGUACCAGCAAUACUAAUCCUGACACUGAUAAAUCAUUGAACAUUACACGACUUUUCAGUGAAUUAUUACUCGGCUCAUAUUGACAUUUAUCGACUCUGGCCCACGUGCCAUCACGAUUAUUUCCCGAACUUGGAUCAUUGAUUUUUUAACUACAAAAUAAAUAAAUAAAAGUCAUACCUUUACCGAAACACGUGUGACAGUCAUCUCAAGUGGAGCUGACGUAAGUUUUCGUUGAUAAACAACAGCAUUGUCAUCAUCAUCAUGACGGUUCCUUCGCGUUGACUCCCGUUGCAUAGCAUCCAGAGCACGUUCAAGUCUUCCACCGCAUCCAUCCCAGCUCAGCGUAAAACCCGGCACGUGCGUCAAUCCCAGCAGCACUAUCACCACCAGUCUCUUCUGCAUACUUAUCAUCGUGUAAAAAAAAUAUUAUAAAAACUCAGCACUUUUAAAUAAUGUCAGACCUCUGGUCCGAGUGUCACAUAUCUGCUUAGCUUGGCAAUGCUGACUGAAAUGAAAAAUAAUACUUGACAAAGCUGAUAUAUAAAAAAGUAUAUACGGUCCCAGGAGUUUUUGAGAGAGUAACCAGUAAUAUUUUUAGUAUCCUGUAGAAAACUUUGUUAUUAAUUCACUCACUCACGUACUGCAAAACAGAGCAUGAAUGCCGUCGUCGUCACCGUCUCCGUCUAAUGAAUCACGGCGUGUUUGAGCACAGUGACACUUGUCGCCGGUGAAAUUUUAUAUUUCAUUGUAAUUAUCAUCAGUAAUAGUCAUAAUAAUUGUGUUUAUAUUACAUUAAGUAAUUUUAUAAAAUUAGAAAUCCUCUUUACUCAAUUCUCAAACAAUAAAAUAUCAACUAAA